CUUUGCCAUCGUAAAAAUGGCAUUUCGAUUAUAUAAUUGAAAAAUAGUUAUUAUCCUAUAGUUUCAAAUUAUAUUUCACAAGUGAAACUGAGGAUAAUUUAUUUUGCAAUUACAGUAGCUAAAAUGUGAUCACUAUUUGUGAUCUUUUCUUUUCUUUGCCACACCUCUAACUCCGUGUAUGUAAUGAAAUAUUAAUCAGCGUAUUUCAAGAAAAUUUUCGGCCAACUUGUUGUUCUCACCUUCUUCAUGCUCAGUAUGGUUAACAAGAGGCCUGCUCAGUUCUUGAAGCUCCGUGCCAUUUUGAUCAAUAUGUGGAGCUGAAUUUGCGUCGAAAAUCAAAUCACUGGGACUGCCGUCUAUAGUGUCCUGUUCACCCAACAGAAUCAAAAAAUAAAAUAAAAGACUAGAGGGUUUGUCGUACGGCAAGAGCAGGCCAACCUGGCCUAGUUUCAAGUCUCUAUAGAGAAUCAAACCGUGAUCUCGUUGCUGCCAUUCGUCAUGCAGAAAAAAUUGAUGAACCAGUGGCCGGAGAAGGCAUUUAGCAGAAAAAGGAGCUUUCGCAAUAAAAUCAAGAAAAGAGGCAGAGAAGCUUCCCCCAUGAGGUGAAGAUGUUUUAAUUUUGAAGUGAAAUUUCUAAUUUGCAUUUGCUUCACAGGUUGUAUUUUAGAGUGUUAAUUGUAAUAUCCCUAAGCAGUUAAAGAAAUCAGUGCAGAAUGGUUGGAGUAUUUGAAAGUCAUCACAUGAUCCCAGUUCUCUUAGUCGUGGUUAUGGAGCAGCAAACUGUUUGAAUCAAGAAAACCGGGAAAAAGAUCCAAGAAGUUUUAAAAAAAAUAUCAUGCAAGCAAUUUGGUUUUAAGAUUGAGA